GGGGAAUAUUGGACAAUGGGCGCAAGCCUGAUCCAGCCAUGCCGCGUGGGUGAAGAAGGCCUUCGGGUUGUAAAGCCCUUUUGUUGGGAAAGAAAAGCAGCCGGCCAAUACCCGGUUGUUCUGACGGUACCCACAGAAUAAGCACCGGCUAACUUCGUGCCAGCAGCCGCGGUAAUACGGAGGAUGCGAGCGUUAUCCGGAUUUAUUGGGUUUAAAGGGUGCGCAGGCGGGCUUUUAAGUCAGCGGUGAAAUCUGGACGCUUAACGUCCAAACUGCCGUUGAAACUGGGAGUCUUGAGUAUGGAUGAAGUAGGCGGAAUUCGUUGUGUAGCGGUGACAUGCAUAGAUAUAACGAGGAACUCCGAUUGCGUAGGCAGCUUACUAAGCCAUAACUGACGCUCAUGCACGAAAGCGUGGGGAUCAAACA
rnacentral:rRNA from 1 species